AUUGAACGCUGGCGGCAUGCCUUACACAUGCAAGUCGAACGGUAACAGGUCUUCGGAUGCUGACGAGUGGCGCACGGGUGAGUAAUACAUCGGAACGUGCCCGAUCGUGGGGGAUAACGGAGCGAAAGCUUUGCUAAUACCGCAUACGAUCUACGGAUGAAAGCAGGGGACCGCAAGGCCUUGCGCGGACGGAGCGGCCGAUGGCAGAUUAGGUAGUUGGUGGGAUAAAAGCUUACCAAGCCGACGAUCUGUAGCUGGACUGAGAGGACGACCAGCCACACUGGGACUGAGACACGGCCCAGACUCCUACGGGAGGCAGCAGUGGGGAAUUUUGGACAAUGGGCGAAAGCCUGAUCCAGCCAUGCCGCGUGCAGGAUGAAGGCCUUCGGGUUGUAAACUGCUUUUGUACGGAACGAAAAGACUCUUUCUAAUAAAGAGGGUCCAUGACGGUACCGUAAGAAUAAGCACCGGCUAACUACGUG
rnacentral:rRNA from 1 species